UACAGAGGUCUCAAGCGUUGUUCGGAUUCAUUGGGCGUAAAGCGCGCGUAGGCGGCUCGGAAAGUCGGUCGUGAAAUGCCGGGGCUCAACCCCGGGACUGCGUCCGAUACUUCCGAGCUGGAGGCAGGUAGGGGAGAUCGGAAUUCCUGGUGUAGCGGUGAAAUGCGCAGAUAUCAGGAGGAACACCGGUGGCGAAGGCGGAUCUCUGGGCCUUGCCUGACGCUGAGGCGCGAAAGCUAGGGGAGCGAACAGG
rnacentral:rRNA from 1 species